CUAAGUGCGGCCGCCAUGUUCUCUGUGUGUCUUUGUCUUUUGUGUGUUCUUUCAUUCUCCACCAUCCCCGGCAUGGACCCCAACAAGUGGCGCAGCGAGCAGGGUCAACACGGAACAGAAGGAGAACAUGCACCUUCACCCCAGCGUAGUUGGAGGACACUAUAAACAAAGAGUCCACGAAGAAGCUUCAUCAUGCCUCGUGGGAAAAGUUAGCACAUUACCAAAACCAUGCAGUCUGUUUAUGGACCUUGAGUAGGAGAUGCUCUGAAAAAAACAUUGGAAGAAAAAAAUGGAAAAACAAAUCAAAACAUCUUCAGACUACAGACUUGUCUUUCUUUGUGUGAAGAGAGCAUUCUUUCUCCAAUUCCUUGUGGCUUGAAGUUUUCUUCUUGUUUGCU